AACAUAUACAAUGGUGCAUUAUAUAUAACGAACGGGAUUCUAUUAAGAUCAUUUCAAAACACGCAUUGUAAGUGUUAAAAUGGCGAACGAGAAUUCAAAUGAAAUGACAAUUGUUAGUGAUCCUAGUCGCGCCGUGAAUGAUGAAAACCAACUAGGAUCUGAAUCACUCGGAAAUGUUGUUCGAGAAAUUACAACGGAGGCAGGAAGCAGAGGGACAUCAGGCCAUGAAAGAAAACCAAAAAAAAAAAUUAAAAACAUGACGGUGAUAACUAAAUUCUGGGAAUUAAUACCGGGAGAUCAUAUUGCGGUCGAAUGCGAGUGGUCCAUAAAGGAAAAGCCUGUUACCACAUAUUUUCAUCACGGUAUAUACAUAAGCCAAGAGAAAGGUGUAGCACAUUUUUCCGGUCGUACCGUACAAAACGCCGAGCUGAAAUAUGAUGACUUGAUGGACUUUGCUAAUGGGUGGAAACACAACACAUUGUAUAAAAUCGAGUACAAAGAGAACAAAUGUUUACCGGCUGAUGAAGUUGUUAAACAGGCGAUUGCGUUAGUCGAAAGUCAGGAAUGGGAUAAGUUUGAUUUUACAGACAACAAUUGCGAGCAUUUUGCGAGUUACUGCAAAACAGGCAAGAAAUCGUGUAAUCAAAGUUAUUUCAAAUGUCUAUUAGCAAAUGGUUGCGUUUACUUAUAUGCAUGUUCUGUGGAAGCUAUGGGCUAUUCUCCAUGUUUCAAAAGAGAAACGAAAUAAACAAUACAUGUAUAUAUGUAUAUGCAAAAAUAUUGAAAACAACACAACCUGUUUAAGAUUAUAUGAAAAGCAAAAUGUACCUAAGAACUGGGAAGUCAAACUGACCUACAACAAUAUAUUGAAGUAUGUGAGGCUUCUUCAAAAUAAAUACAAUUGUUUGUGACUUUUUAGGACGUUAUUUAAUGACGAAAAUUGACGUUAUGGUGUUACAUCGAAACCUUUUGCAACGAAAACACUAUUAUUCUGAAUGCGCAUUUCGGAUUUGGAAAAGGCUUUUCAACUGAUGAUGCUAUUUUGUAUUGAUGUCUAAUAAUCAAAAUUAUUGAAAUUUAAAUAAACGUUUGUAUUAGGGAUGGGAACGAAUACUGAAAAUGAUAUUCGAAUAUUCAGUUGUUAUUAUUUGAAUACAUUCGAUUAUUAGAUUUUUAAACCUUAUAUUAAAAUGUCUUAACUUAUGACUGUCCAGAGCAACGUUCUAUUUCAUAUUGCCACUUAUACCACUAUAAAUCGUAUCAUGUGUGCAGCUUUUAAAAACUUGACAGAGUAAAACUUGUAGAAAAAAAGAUUAUUGAUUAUUGCAUUCUUCUUUUUAAAUAAAUACUGUUUAUUUUCAUAAGAUAUAAGAUGUUUCCGGAAAACACAUUACCGUUAUUCUAAUUUAUUUCAAUACUUCUAAUUGAUUCGGAUACUUUCCAUCGAUAGCAUUUAUGAUUUUGUUUUCACUUUUUGUUCUGCAAUUAAGAAGCACGACUCUUUAAUUGGUUGAUAUUUGAGUAACUAAAUUCUGACUAAAUAAACAUUGAUUUAAUAUUUAGAUAUAGCAUUCAAAACAAACAUGCCACACGUGCCGAUCUCGGUGGAACAGUCCCGCUUUUGGGGUAUUUGGCCCGGCUUCCUGAUAUGAGACAAUUUGUCCCGACAUUCGUUAAACACGACAUACAUUCUAUAAAUUAGCAAUACAUUUCGCUAUUCAAGGUCUUUCUUGCUAAAACUUCACUAAUUCCUUUAUUGCCCCUUAUUACUAUCUACUUCUACUACUCGAGUGCACCAGUGUAGUUUGUGACACCUUGUGACAUCAGCGAUUUAUCGGCGAAUUAUUGAUUUUGUCAGGCAUUCACACCAUGGUAUUUUGUAAUAUGGUCGCUAAUUGCUAUUGAAAGAUGUGUCGCAUUGAAAUAAAAGCCAACUGCCGCCCAAUUAUGUCUAACGAUUCUGCUUGUUAUACCACCUGAGGUUAAAAGACCUGUCAAAGCACAGAUUUGUAAGUCAAACAAAUUGAAGUUUCAUUCUUUAUUCUCAUUUAUAUACACACAUUACAUAUUUAUAACAGUGACACAUACUCACAUUAAAACAUUAUGUAUAUAACCGCUCAUGAUGUUGAGCUAUAAGAGAUAUCGCACAUGUUUGCAUAUCAUUAAAUAAAAUAUCAUUCUCUUAUCACUAUUCACAAUACUAAGAGGUAAAAAGUAAGUGCUACUCCUUCUUUAAAAAUAAAAUAAUCAAAGUUAAGACAAUGAUUGCUGUAAAUUGGAGCACUAGCGCGCUAGUAAAAUACAUUUUCAAGAAUCGAAUAUCAUUCCUGAUCAGAUCAGGAAUACAUUAGUUAGCACUGACUUUCUACAUUUACAUAAAAUUAAAUUUUAGAUUACACUAAAACAUAUAUGACAUUAUUUACAAAGUAAACAUUGUCGUCUUAUUAAAAUUGCAUGACAGGUUUUGGCACAUUGUCUAAUCAAGUCUUUAUUUGAGAACAGUAUAGUAAAUUGAUCUAUUUUUGAUAAGUUUGGAAACUCCGAAUUGCAUACAAUUGCCUUCGAAAGUAAACUAUCUCUUAAGUCAUUAUAUAUUUGACAUUCAAGUAUAACAUGAAGUUCAUUUUCUACAUUUUUACUUAAACAAAAAGGGCAUGUUCUAUUUUCUUCUAUAAGUCCUUCAUAACGCCCAGUUUCAAUACGAAUGUGUGCAACACCAAGUCUAAAUUUACUAAAUGCAGAACGAUGAGAUAAUGGUAAAGUAAGAGUACAAUACUCUUCUACAUUAUAACUAGACUUUAACAAUUUAUAAUUUUUUUAGUCUAAGUUUAUUGCGUCCUCGGCCAGAUGGACCUAUAUCAUUAUUAAUUCUUCGAAGCCAGCUAUUAAUGUAACAUUCAUGUGUAAUUUCUUCUAUAUUAACAGCAAAUGAUCUUGGUUGAAUGCUUAUCAAUACACAUUGAUGUUUCACAUAAAUUAAUUUUUAUAUUUGACUGAUUACCAGAAAAUAGUUUGUUCAUUUUGCAUCAAAAUAAAUAUAAAGUGAA